GGAGGGGUGCCGGAGCGGCCUAACGGGCUGGUCUCGAAAACCAUGCGGGGAGUAAUCCUCACGGAGGUUCGAAUCCUCCUCCCUCCG
rnacentral:tRNA from 1 species